rnacentral:rRNA from 1 species
UGGUUUCUCCCUUCUGAAGAACCAUGAUGUCAUUAAUUUGGCGUUGUGGGGAAUCAGGACUGUUACUUUGAAAAAAUUAGAGUGUUUAAAGCAGGCUUAGGCUUGAAUACAUUAGCAUGGAAUAAUGAAAUAGGACGCUUUGAUCCUAUUUCGUUGGUUUCUAGGAUCGACGUAAUGAUUAAUAGGGAUAGUUGGGGGCAUUAGUAUUCAAUUGUCAGAGGUGAAAUUCUUGGAUUUAUUGAAGACUAACUACUGCGAAAGCAUUUGCCAAGGAUGUUUUCAUUAAUCAAGAACGAAAGUUAGAGGAUCGAAGACGAUCAGAUACCGUCGUAGUCUUAACCAUAAACUAUGCCGACUAGGGAUCGGAUGAUGUUAAUUUUUUAAUGACUCAUUCGGCGCCUUACG